rnacentral:rRNA from 1 species
GAGUUUGAUCGUGGCUCAGGACGAGCGCUGGCGGCGUGCCUAAUACAUGCAAGUCGAGCGGACAGAUGGGAGCUUGCUCCCUGAUGUUAGCGGCGGACGGGUGAGUAACUCGUGGGUAACCUGCCUGUAAGACUGGGAUAACUCCGGGAAACCGGGGCUAAUACCGGAUGCUUGUUUGAACCGCAUGGUUCAAACAUAAAAGGUGGCUUCGGCUACCACUUACAGAUGGACCCGCGGCGCAUUAGCUAGUUGGUGAGGUAAUGGCUCACCAAGGCAACGAUGCGUAGCCGACCUGAGAGGGUGAUCGGCCACACUGGGACUGAGACACGGCCCAGACUCCUACGGGAGGCAGCAGUAGGGAAUCUUCCGCAAUGGACCGAAAGUCUGACGGAGCGACGCCGCGUGAGUGAUGAAGGUUUUCGGAUCGUAAAGCUCUGUUGUUAGGGAAGAACAAGUACCGUUCGAAUAGGGCGGUACCUUGACGGUACCUAACCAGAAAGCCACGGCUAACUACGUGCCAGCAGCCGCC